CACCAUACUAAAUUGGUUUAUCAGUAGAUUAGUUUGACCUCGUUAUUAAGACGUUAUUUGGGUCGUGGAAAAAAAAUCGAGAUAUCCCUGGUAUAAGAGGUAGCUGAGAAUUUUACUGUAACCAAAUUUUUAGUGAUAGGGGAAAUCAUAAAACGGUAAUCAAAAUGAUAUCUUGUAAUUCUAGUAUUUUUCACAGUAAUAUUUUAAACUAACAAUUAUGAAAAUACUCAACAACUCUAUACUAUUAACCUUUCGGAAAACAGAAGUAGACGUUAGUGUAAGUAUUAUCAAACCGUUCUGGCCACUAUGAAAUAUCCUCAAUGUAUAUAUCCAUCAGAAAAUUAACCAGCCAGAGUUAUUUCAUCAGUACAAACAAUGUAUAAGUCGUCAGAAAUAUCAUAUACUAGAUACCCUGAUAACUCCUUCAAACCAUACAAAACAUGCAGUGUACUUAUGACGAGUAAACUACCUGUAACAAAUACUUACAUGAACUACCAGCACCUGUAAUAUGACUCCAAGUACUACCUGGUCAGUAUCGGGUUAUAUACACAUGGCCUUAGGCUAUCUGUUGUCUAGACAACAAAAUGGGUCGACUGUACUUCCUUGAAGUUUUAUAUCAGGUGACUGGUCAGUUUUCCAGUGAUAAUUCAUUUGCUGAUCAGAUUUUGAAGAAGGCAGACCUGUUCCUUUGCACGUAUCUGGUUUUUAAGUGAAAUAUCCUAUUUUUCUUUCGAUGACCUUAUUCGUAAGCAUAUUUUUUAUGUUUGCUUCAGCUAUUAUGAAUGGAAAUGAUAAAAACUUCUACGACGCUACAAUACUGAUUUGCUAAGAGUAUUCUAUGAAGUGCGAGGAUUAUAUUUUUAACAAAGCAAUUGAAAUGCGUGACGUGCCAGGUUUUGGAGGUGGAGGAAAGCCGGA